ACCUACGAUAGUGAAAUGUUGAGUGUUCACACAGAUUGUCUGAUGAAAUGAAGACGAGCAGCGUCUGCGAAGAAGACUUGAAGUCCCCUUCGUCUAGAGGCCUAGGACACCGCCCUUUCACGGCGGUAACAGGGGUUCGAAUCCCCUAGGGGACGCCACUUUGCUCGGGGACUGGGUGAAAGACGGUGCCAAUGAAAUAUUGCUAAGCGGGCUGUUAAGCCGGUUUAUCAAUAUUUGCUCUUUAACAAUCCGGAACAAGCUGAAAAUUUGAAACAAUCAGUGACGAUGAAACGGUCACUGGUGAGUCUCUCAAAAACUCCAGUCCGAAGACACCUUCGGGUUGUGA
rnacentral:misc_RNA from 1 species